CGGGGUGUGGUGUAAAAGUAGCACGCAUGCUUCGGGAGCAUGUAGCCCGAGUGCAAUUCUCGGCAUCCCGA
rnacentral:tRNA from 1 species